GAUGAAGAACGUAGCGAAAUGCGAUAAGUAGUGUGAAUUGCAGAAUUCAGUGAAUCAUCGAAUCUUUGAAUGCACAUUGCGCCCCUUGGUAUUCCAUGGGGCAUGCCUGUUCGAGCGUCAUUUGUACCUUCAAGCUCUGCUUGGUGUUGGGUGUUUGUCUCGCCUCUGCGUGUAGACUCGCCUUAAAACAAUUGGCAGCCGGCGUAUUGAUUUCGGAGCGCAGUACAUCUCGCGCUUUGCACUCAUAACGACGACGUCCAAAAGUACAUUUUUACACUCUUGACCUCGGAUCAGGUAGGGAUACCCGCUGAACUUAAGCAUAUCAAUAAGCGGAGGA
rnacentral:misc_RNA from 1 species